UACGUAGGGGGCAAGCGUUGUCCGGAAUUAUUGGGCGUAAAGGGUGCGUAGGCGGCUAUUUAAGUAGGGUGUGAAAGCCCCCGGCUCAACCGGGGAAUUGCGUCCUAAACUGGAUAGCUCGAGUGAGAUAGAGGUGUGCGGAACUUCCGGUGGAGCGGUGAAAUGUGUUGAUAUCGGAAGGAACGCCGGUGGCGAAAGCGGCACACUGGGUCUCAACUGACGCUGAGGCACGAAAGCCAGGGGAGCGAACGGG
rnacentral:rRNA from 1 species